ensembl:snoRNA SNORD94 small nucleolar RNA SNORD94
GCAGCAAUGAUGAGUGGCGCAGGGGUACGGACCUCAGCUGAAUCAUGGGGGCUGAGUGUGAGUUAUCUGUGUUCCACCAUUGCUGGCAAGUGGCUGGCUUUGGGGACCUGGCUCACAUGAGAAUUCCGCCUUAGUCUGAGCUGC